AUACGGAGGAUCCGAGCGUUAUCCGGAUUUAUUGGGUUUAAAGGGUGCGCAGGCGGCCAUUUAAGUCAGCGGUUAAAUCGUGGGGCUCAACCCCAUUCUGCCGUUGAUACUGGGUGGCUUGAUUGCGGUCGAGGUUGGCGGAAUUCGUUGUGGAGCGGUGAAAUGCAUAGAUAUGACGAAGAACACCGAUUGCGUAGGCAGCUGACCAGACCGCAAAUGACGCUCAUGCACGAAAGUGCGGGGAUCGAACAGGAUUAGAUACCCUGGUAGUCCGCACAGUAAACGAUGAAUACUUGUUUUCGGCGAUAUAAUGUCGGGGGCAAAGCGAAAGCGAUAAGUAUUCCACCUGGGGAGUACGCCGGCAACGGUGAAACUCAAAGGAAUUGACGGGG
rnacentral:rRNA from 1 species